CAUGUGCUGUGAGCUCGAUGAGUAGGGCGGGACACGUGGUAUCCUGUCUGAAUAUGGGGGGACCAUCCUCCAAGGCUAAAUACUCCUGACUGACCGAUAGUGAACCAGUACCGUGAGGGAAAGGCGAAAAGAACCCCGGCGAGGGGAGUGAAAAAGAACCUGAAACCGUGUACGUACAAGCAGUGGGAGCACCCUUCGGGGUGUGACUGCGUACCUUUUGUAUAAUGGGUCAGCGACUUAUAUUCUGUAGCAAGGUUAACCGUAUAGGGGAGCCGGAGGGAAACCGAGUCUUAAUUGGGCGUUAAGUUGCAGGGUAUAGACCCGAAACCCGGUGAUCUAGCCAUGGGCAGGUUGAAGGUUGGGUAACACUAACUGGAGGACCGAACCGACUAAUGUUGAAAAAUUAGCGGAUGACCUGUGGCUGGGGGUGAAAGGCCAAUCAAACCGGGAGAUAGCUGGUUCUCCCCGAAAGCUAUUUAGGUAGCGCCUCGUGAAUUCAUCUCCGGGGGUAGAGCACUGUUUCGGCUAGGGGGCCAUCCCGGCUUACCAACCCGAUGCAAACUGCGAAUACCGGAGAAUGUUAUCACGGGAGACACACGGCGGGUGCUAACGUCCGUCGUGAAGAGGGAAACAACCCAGACCGCCAGCUAAGGUCCCAAAGUCAUGGUUAAGUGGGAAACGAUGUGGGAAGGCCCAGACAGCCAGGAUGUUGGCUUAGAAGCAGCCAUCAUUUAAAGAAAGCGUAAUAGCUCACUGGUCGAGUCGGCCUGCGCGGAAGAUGUAACGGGGCUAAACCAU
rnacentral:rRNA from 1 species